rnacentral:tRNA from 1 species
CUGGGGGUGGCCCAGUGGUAGAGCACUUACCUAGAAUACAGGAGGCCCUGGGUUCAACUCCCAGCAGCCUGG